CAAGAACGGCUGGCGCUGUGACUGUGGUUCUGGCUUUGAGCUCGACAACAUCACGGGGGGUUGCCAUGAUAUCAACGAAUGCCUCAGCAACCCUUGCAGCGGUUAUGACACGUGUUUGAACAGCAAUGGGUCCUACCAGUGCCAAUGGAGGGAAUGCCCCCCUGGUUACAACAAGAUAGGUUCCGGAUGUUACGUCAUAUCAAGUUCAACAGCAAAUCAUCAGCAGGCUAUCGACAGGUGCAAAAACCUUGGUGGCGUUUUACCAACUAUUGAACGGAAGUCAGAAUACAAAGCACUGGUAACAGCAUUGGAUAAGAAGAAAGAAUACCAUAUAAGCGUGAAUGACAUGGAAACUGAAG